UUCUGGAAGACCAUAGAACUGCGGAAGGAGAGUGGAGUUAGGAGAAACCAGCUGUGUCUCAGCAGACUCGAGGACCCGAUCUCCGUGGGCCCCGUGCGUGCACACAGAAAGUCAGAGGGAGCCGGGCACCUCCUCCUCAUCCCUGCGUCAGAAGGCACACGCAAGGCACAUCUUCCACGCGGCGUGUCACUCACUCCGCCACACGGCCGAAAUCCCCUCGGAAGACGUCUCCGCGCACCCCGAGCCCGGCCCCGGAAUCCCGGUCCUUCCCCCACAGCCACCAGGCCGGCCAGCGCCCAGGACGCGCAGGCCGUAGCUCCCCCCACUCCAAACCGCCGGGAACCCACGGCCAGACCCACCUCUGCACAAAAGCACAAAGUGCGACCCGAUGUGUCUGCGCACUUCGAGCACGAAGGAGCACUCCCAGGUCGCAGGUAGCGCCUGGGCAAGCACUGGUUAAGUCAGGUAGGGCGCUGAGAUGAUUCAGAACAACCUCCCUCCAGGCCGUUUCGCCAUGUUUGUGGGCGCCAGGCUGGACUACAUUUCCCAGAAGGCUGUGCUGAUCUCAUCAACUCCCCGCGAGAACCGCUAUGUCCGAAGGAAUUUGCUUUUGUGACCACGAGAAGGCCCUCUCCGGAGGAAGAUAAAAGCGUAGGUGUGAUUAUGACGAGCGCUCUCGAACGGAGCCCUUUGAUUAAACCAGGCUGGGGCCCUCAGAAACUUCCGAAGCGUUUCAGUUCGGGGCCAGGAGGAGGGCCAGCUUCAGGCUUACAUGUGUGGCAUAAAAGGGCUCGGUAACGCAGCUCCGGGCCUCCCUCUACUCCCGUGCUGGACUACAUUUCCCGGAGGCCUCCGCGGCCGGCGUGCCUCGCGCAGGAACCCCGUGGUCUCCGGACCAGACAACGGGCUCGUGGAGCUCCCGCAGGCACGGUUCCAAGUUCUCGGUGGCCUAGGGCUGCGGAGCAGUGGGAUCCGAGGAUCGGCGCGCCCUGGGGCUGAGGCCUGUGCACGUGGUAGCGACCAGCUAGGGUUGUGGGAAGAGAGUGCAUCUGUGGCUUUUAAAUACAACCUGAACUCUCAUAAUUUGAGCAUUUAUAUGGCCUGGUGGAAGACGAGCUGGGAACUCAAGCCAGUUCUCCCUCGUGAGGGGCAGGAACCCUGUCACUUGAGCCGUCCUUGCUGCCUCCCAGGUUCUCCAUUAGCUGGAAGUUAAGUCCGGGGCUGGAGGCAGGCAGCUGGGGUUUGUUACAGGACCCCGGCAUACAGGUGUGUGUUAUCAACACGUCCAAACGUGAGCCCCUGGCAGGAAGGAUUUUUAAUGCUGUGGUGGACUGAAGGAAGACAAUGACAGAUGUUAAGCAGGAGAGCGAUCCACGUGACUAAGCCAUCUGGGUUUUCUUUUCCACUGCUUGGUGCUCAUCCAGAAGAGAAAGUUCUCAUAAUCUUUUCGAAGGAGCUAGUUGUGCAAGGUCGGGCGGGACACCCACCAAAAGCACCCCUUUAGCCUCCUACAGGAUCCGGGAAACCACAGCAGGAGCUAGCACCUUGAAUACUUACACAUUAAAGGUGUGGAUCCCGGGCCCUUGAGACAGUUCUGGGUGGUAGAUUUUACGUCUCAGGGGCAAAGAAAGGAUUUCAAGUUGUAAGCCUUGGAAAAUAACUGCGCCAAGCUUAGCCAAGCUUAUCUGCAGGUUUCGGCUGGAACAAACAGUACCUUCUCAGCAGUUUCUUUUACAGGCAUUUUAAAGGGGGCUAGGGUCAUACUAGGGACACAGCCUCGAGCUAAGAAGCCUUGCUAGAGUUUGGUCAAGUGUAUCUUUUAAACCUUUACUUAUUUAUUUGAAAGUCAGAGAGAGGGAGAGACAGGGAGAGAUCUUCCAUCUGCUGGUUCACUUCCCAAAUGGCCGAAUUGGUGGGGCUGAGCUAGAAGCCAGGAGCUUCUGGGUCUCCCCACACGGGUGCAGGGGCCCUAGUACUCGGGCCAUGCUCUGCUGCUUUCUCCAGGCCAAUAGCAGGGAGCUGGAUUGGAAGCAGAGCAGCCAGGACUCGAACCAGUGCCCAUAUGGGAUGCUGGCAUCACAGGUGGUGGCUUUACUGGCUACACCACAAUGCCCCGGUCAAGUCUUAUUGCAGGCUUUUAGAUAGUCACUUGGGCCAAGAGUUUUUGCAGUUCUUUUUUGAUAAUUAUAUGAAAUAAUUAGCCAAGGAAUUUCUCUUGAUAAGGAAAAGUAUUUGUGACAUUAGCUGAUAUGUUUUACAAAGGAACAGUUUCUAACAAGGUGUACUUUGUUGCCUGGGACUGUCCUGGCAUUGUAAGAUUAUAAACCAGUAUGUCUGGCCCUUAGACAGUAAAUUCUAUUGGCAUGUUUCCAUCACUGUAACAACCAAAACUUGAUACCACGCAUCUCCAAAGCUCCCUAGUGGGGGACAUAAUUACCCAAGGAGAAUCUGUUACUCAGCGAUAAACAUGACUUUAUGCAAACAGAACUACUUCUAGAGGUGGUGAAAGAGGAAUCACUAACGCGAUCUGAGUGAGCUAUCUACCUGCAUAUCACAGCAUCUCUCUUCUGGAACUGCUGACCUCAUGCAUACUUCUGCUGCUAAAGUCCUCCGUGUUCCUUCCUUGUCUUUCGUCCCCCUUCUUCAGGAUAUCUCAGCAUUCGUUAUUCCUGCAGUUGCUCCCCUGUUACUGCAGCUUUUGGUUCUUGCCCUGCUGCAUUGGUUAGGACUUCAGAACAACGCCGGUCUCAUUCCUGGACACCAAGGGAAAGCUUUCAGCAGCUCACCAUUAAGAAAGUGUCUUCUCCCCGGCACUGUGGCUCACUAGACUAAUCCUCCGCCUAGCGGCACCGGCACACCGGGUUCUAGUCCCGGUCGGGGCGCCGGAUUCUGUCCCGGUUGCCCCUCUUCCAGGCCAGCUCUCUGCUGUGGCCCAGGAAGGCAGUGGAGGAUGGCCCAGGUGCUUGGGCCCUGCACCCCAUGGGAGACCAGGAGAAGCACCUGGCUCCUGCCUUCGAAUCAGCGCGGUGCGCCGGCCGCAGCAGCCAUUGGAGGGUGAACCAACGGCAAAAGGAAGACCUUUCUCUCUGUCUCUCUCUCUCACUGUCCACUCUGCCUGUCAAAAAAAAAAAAAAAAAGCGUCUUCUCUAGGAAUCUUACAGAUACCUUGAUGCAACCACAGAAGUUCCCAUUUUUCUUUAUUUGCUAACUGGAUACAUCUUAUGAAAUGUCUUUUCUCCAUCUACUUAGAUGCUAAGUAAAAUGACUCUACUGCAUUAUUGGCUUAACCCAAUCUUAUUCAUAACAUAUUGCUGUAUACAUUACAGGAUCUAAUAUCCUGUUAUUUUGUAUUUUUGCAUAUGGGUUCAUCAGUGUGCCCUGUAACUUCUUUCUCUUGAAUUUUCUUGUUACCUUUCAUUAUCUAUUUUUGCCUCAACUCAUAAAAUAAAUUGGAUAUGUUUUAGUCUUUACCAGUUCUUUGAAGAUCUUUUAUAAUACAAGUAUUGAGUUUUGUUUCCUUAAACAUUUGGUAGAAUACAACAAAGAAGCCACCUGAACCUGAAUUGUCUCACGGGAAAGGUUUGCAACAAUGGAUUACAUUUCCUUGAGCCAAAUGACUCUUCAGGUUGUCUAUUACUCCACAUGGCGGAGUUGGUGUAUUAUAUAAAAGUAGGUUUUGUCUGUUUCACCUAAAUGUUCAAUUGUAGUGCUAUAAAUUAUAUAGAACAUGCUUUUUUUUAACAUAAUAAGUAUACCACUUUUAUUUACUGAUGUUUGUUUAACCACCUGGCUUAUUCUCAAGAAAGCUUGAGAUCAUCGCUGGCACAAAUGAUGGAUGGGCAUACACAAAACAAACAACUCAUACACCAAAAUAACCUUCCACAACAAUACGCACACAUACAGGCUCACUGACACGGCACCUGCUCACUGUGUACACAGAACCUGAGUGGGAACGACAGGUAACAUUGAGUGCUUACCCUGUGCCAAAUGCUGUCACAUCUUUAUGAUUGCCUAGACUUCUCUACAUGUCAUUUUUAAUUUUUUUAAAAAGAUUUAUUUAUUUAUUCAAAAGGCAGAGUUAUAGAGAGAGGGAGAGAAAGAGAGAGAGAGAGAGAAUCUUCCAUCUGCUGGUUUACUCUCCAAGUGGCUGCAAUGAGCAGGGUUGGACCGGGCUUCAGACAGGCACCAGGAGCUUCUUCCAGGUAUUCUAUGUUGGCAGCACCUGCCCAAGAACUUGGGCCACCUUCUGCCGCCUUCCCAGGUACAUUAGCAGGGAGCUGGAUCAGGAAGUGGAGCAGCCGAGACACCAGCUAGCACCCACACUGGAUGCUGGCAUUGCAGGCAGCAGCUAAACUUGCUAUA